GAUGAACGCUGGCGGCGUGCCUAAUACAUGCAAGUCGAGCGAACGGAAGAGAAGCUUGCUUCUCUGAUGUUAGCGGCGGACGGGAGAGUAACAAGUGGAUAACCUACCUAUAAAACAGGGAUAAAUACGGGAAACCGGAGCUAAUACCGGAUAAUAUUUUAAAACGCAUGGGUCAAAAGUAAAAGACGGUCUUGCUGUCCCUUAUAGAUGGAUCCGCGCUGCAUUAGCUAGUGGGUAAGGUAACGGCUUACCAAGGCAACGAUGCAUAGCCGACCUGAGAGGGUGAUCGGCCACACUGGAACUGAGACACGGUCCAGACUCCUACGGGAGGCAGCAGCAGGGAAUCUUCCGCAAUAGGCGAAAGCCUGACGGAGCAACGCCGCGUGAGUUAUGAAGGUCUUCGGAUCGUAAAACUCUGUUAUUAGGGAAGAACAUAUGCGUAAGUAACUGUGCACAUCUUGACGGUACCUGAGCAGAAAGCCACGGCUAACUCCGUG
rnacentral:rRNA from 1 species